rnacentral:lncRNA from 1 species
GAAAACCAGCCAGGCCAGGUAAUGCCUCAGAAUUCCAAUAAAUGAUGGCAUCAACCUUUGUGAUAUGAGUUAAAGACCUGCAUUAACAAUUCAUUCAAUAUUAGUUACAACGAAACCAUAAUGUACUUAUAUAUGUCUCUUAAUCCCCAAUGCUAACAUUGAUUUUUUUUAGGAUCUUGUCUUCACAGCAAUAGCAAUAGUAGAUCGUUUGCAAGAAAAUAUUCAAUGGUGGUACAUGUCAUGUGAUAAGUGUCACAAAUUGGCUACCAAAGAAACCGACAAGUAUUAUUGCAACAGUUGUGGUAUAUAUCCAGAAAAGGUCACACCUCGGUAAGCAUAUUAUGUUACUAAAAUAUGAACAAGAACUGUUAUAUUAUAUUUACUCUCCACUAACAUGAGUUGUAUGUUAGGUACCGUGUUCGACUCCAAAUUAGUGACCAUACAUCUACU